ACAGCAGAUCGUUCUCCACCGCCAACCAGCUCUAUGCACUCGCGAUCCACCCCUUCGCCCCCGCCGCGACCGAUCCAUCCCUGUGACGUGGCAGAUCCUAACCCCGGGGCUUCCUCCUCCGCCACCAUCCUAUUCCCUUCGCUCCCAUCUGUCGCCUCUAUCAAGAUCGGAGACCUCCGACUUCUGGGCCGCUGCCGCCGUUGCCGCAGAACCCCAGGACAAGGCAGGGUGUGGUCGCGUUGCGGGCAGUGAGAAGCGGCGCAUGGCCGUGCCCUGCAUCUGGUUCCUCUACGCUCCCCUCAAUCCCCUUCAUCGCCUCCAACAUACAAUCUCGCCGCCAUGGGAUCGCCGCCGAGCCAAGCAUCACCAUGAUGGCGGAAGGAAGAGCAAGAGGGGGUCAUCGAGGCUGGGUGCCGCCGUGAGGAUGCUGGAGUCCAUGCACGGUGAUGGUAUUGUGGCGAAAGAAGGUCAUCUUCCUGGGGAGCCACGCGAUGGCCGCCGUCUCCACCCACGGCCGUGCCAACAAGACAGAUCUCGCUGAGAUGGACUCCGCUAGAAAUUCCUCUAUGAAUUUGGAACAUAUAAAAGGGAUUUAACUUUUAAGAAGCAUAGAAUGUUGUGCUAUUAUGCAUUGCCAUGAUUUGGUCCGGGUGAAGUAAUAUAUUGGGAUAUUUGUGGAGGAGAUUAUAUUGCUUCUUCUUAUAUUGGAACAAUUGAGAGGAGCAAGGUUAGUAAUAUCAACACCUGACCACACACUAGGCUGUGGCGAGAGUUUGUGUAUAUCUCUUUGGUGUCAACCUCAUGUGCGUGCUAGCCACGUUCUGCCGUUGCGGGCACCCUAUUUGCCUUGGUAUGAUCGAUGGAAGCACUUGGGUGAUGUUCUGGUGAUAAAAAUGCUGAAGUUAUUAUACUGGCCGAUACAUCUAUCUAUUGGGAGGUUGUUUUGCUAUCAAUUGGGAUCCUGGGUUUAGGGUCUUUUCAUGCUUGGAUAAAGGCAAGUGUUCUAUUUGUGCAUUGUGAUGGCAAUUUUCUUGGAUAACAGACGAAGCGAUAUUGGAGGAGUACACGGGUGGGAUGACAGAUGAUAAACUUGAUACGGGUGUGUUGUUGACUGUCAUCCAACCGACGUGCCUAGACAGGCUACAUAUUGGCAUGAUGGACUUCUAUGGUAAAAGGACAUUAUGCAGCAUGUAAAUGUGACUUCUUCAUCUCUGUUGUCCUUGAUGACAUGUUUAUCUUGCCUGAUAGAGAGAACGACAGUGAUUAUUUUGUUCUUCCCUCGCUUGUAUUGCAGGGUUUUCGUAGGAACAUAAUUCAGUGUCCGCUAAUGUACUGAAAAAAAACAUAUUUGUUCUUCUUGCUUGUCACCAAGCAGGUAUUCUUACGUGGCUCCAAUCAAAUCACCGAUGUAUGGAUUCACUUAAAUCACUUGUAUUAUCUGUAGGAGGCUGUAAUUAACCAUAUAAAGUUCUUGCUGAUUAUAAAAUGUAUGCUUCUUUUUACUACAAUAUAAAACAUGUAUUUUUCUCGGUUAUUUGUGGGGCACCAUCUACAAGUGUAUGUAAACAUGUUAAUGAACUCAAGUUAAUUGAUGUGGACUCAAGUGUCCUCAUAGAAGGAACUAACUCUCCAAAUUAGGUAAAGAACAUGGCUGGUCAUCUGUUUGCAAAAUGUUUGCAAAAUUUGAGUUGUUGCAUGCUACUUGCGUGUAUGAAAGAGUUAAUGCAAUUCACAAUAUGUUAAUACUCCAUUUUUGAGUACAGAUAACCAUUUCAGGGGCAUGCCUAACCGUGCCUAGGACAAUAUCUGAAACUUACUCAUAAUAUGCCUAACUAUGUGCCAAACUAAUAUGAUAACAUGUUCUACUCAUAUAGUUUUGUUUUUCAUUUGGGCUGUGUGGAUCCUAUAUUUGAGGCUUUAAGUUUCAGCUACGUACAAAAUAACACUAAUUUUUUCUUUAUAUUUUGUUAAUUUGCCUUUCUAUGAUUUCUUAAUAGUUGUUGAGAAUUCUUUCUUACACACUUCACACUUUUCAGGGAAACAAAGACUUAAGUGAUGUUACUCAUGUUAUAGUAGAUGAAGUACAUGAACGCACUAUUUUGGUAUGUACUUGCUCGUGUAUGUUUUUUCUUUAUGUGCUACAAAAUGUCUUGUUUCUCCCUAUAUGAUAGAUGAAGCACAUGGUUAAUCCUGAUUCGCCCCUUUCAGAGCAACUUUUUGCUGAUUGUUCUUAAGAGUCUUGUUGAAAACGCUCUAAUCAACCAGGAAGAAAGCUGAAAGUGAUUCUCAUGUAGUGUCCAUUCUCUUAUAUAUUAUUGCAUAGACUUAUGACUUGAAUCAGAAAUUUUGAUUUCUGUUGUAAUUUCGUAAGUAGUUAAACGGGAGACUUUUGUUGUAAAUUGGCCAGAUAAAAAAACGGUUUUGCUAAUUUACAGUCGAGUGAUUUACAAUUGGUUUUCAUUCAAAUUUUUUGGCCGUUUGAUCUCAUGCUUAGAUCCGCGCUGGGAGCUGGCUUUUCCUUGUGAUUUUUUUCUCUCUGUUACUGGGUGCGCUUUUGUUUCCCAGCUAGCCCGUUACUGUCCAUCCCUUGGGCCCUGGCUCUCUCUUUAUCUUUUUUUAUUUUGAUUCUUGUCCUUUCGCAUUUCCUGCGAGAGUUGAAGCUGAGAAAGGGAGCCGAUUCUUGGCGAUUUCCUCGUCAUCCAUGGUGAUUCCGAUCUCCUCCUCCUCCUCUUCAGCUUGAUUUCCGUUCCAGUGUCGGGUGAUUUCAGUUGGUUAUCCUGGUCUUCUCCCUUUCCCCCUUGAAUUUCGUUUAGGUCUUUUGGUUUGAUUUGAUUCCCCUUGUAUUUGAUUUAGAUGUAGGUGUAUGUUAGUCGUAGAGGUGGAUUUUCCUGGCGACUUUUUUGCAGUUACAGUGGUAGUAGCAUGGAUGUAGCGAUGGAUCCGAUUCCCCUGUUGGUUUUCUUUCUGCUAACCUGGGCAUUGGAUUCUGCUGGCCUUUUUUGCUGUUAGAUGCAGGGGUGUGUGUUUGUAGGUAGUAGUUGCAUCUAAGUUACAUCAAUAACUGUUCAAUUUCAGUGGAAUUUCCACUCAAAUCACAGAGUAGUGACACUGCAAUUUCCAGAGUUAACCACAAUGCAAUUUUUGCUGUAACUUCUGUGAUUUUUAGUUUACAGCCACCGCAAUUACAAUGUAAUUUACGAGUAUUAUAGUUCUAUUUUUAGUGUAUUUUUAGGUUAAUUACACUAGAUUACAAUGAAAUUUUCAAUGCAAUUAAAGUACUUUUUGGUGGUGGUGGUGGGGGGGUGCCUAUGUUGGGUCUCCAAGCAUUCUAGAACCUUUUUCUUUGUGGUUUGUCUUUGUUGGGUAGUAUUUGUAUCAAUCUUAUAACCCUUUUUUUCUAUGUUUUCUGUAGUGUUGCAUCUAAGUCUACAGCAGCUCCAAGAUUGUAAUCUCAUUUUAGUUACAGUGUAAUUUCCUCUGAAAUUACAGAGUAAUCAUAGUGUUCUUACAGUGUAUUUGUAAUUGCAGUGUAAUUUUCAUGGUAAGUACACUGUAAAUCCCACUACUAUGUUACUGUAAUUACAGUGCAAUUUUUCUAUAAUUUACAGUGUUGUUAUAGUGUAAUUUCCAUGGGUAAUCACAGUGCAUUUUUACUAGAAUAUUUACAUUAUUUACAGUCAGUGCAAUUACAUGUAAAUACAGUGUAAUUUCAGUAAAAUUACAAUGGUCAUUAGACUGUAAAUCACAAUGUCUAUGUUAGGUAGUGUUGCAUCUAUUCACGCUGUCAAUAUAUACUGAAUCUAUCUUUGUGUCAGAAACCUUGUUGUGCACAUGUGCUUGUCUUGAUAAUAGUAAUUUCAGUAUUUUUUGUUGCUACUGUAAAUUUUAGUUUCUUUUGCCCUGGUGCUUUUGAAACAAAACAUACCAGUUUCCUUGAUUUUAACUAGAGUGCUCUGUGCAAUACACUCUGUCAAAUGGAAAGAAUUUGUGAUCUCUAAUUUUAUUUCUUGUAAUUUUACAUGUUCUAGAUCUCAAAGAAAUUCACGAUGCAUGAGCAAAGACAUUGUAAUUGAAGGAUUUCCACCCUGUGGAUCAUCUCUUGUAUGAUCUUGCAUGGUUCUCCCCCAAUUAGUAGUCGUGACUUUGGCGUUUGUCUUUGCCCCAAUUGGAAUUGAAGGAUUUCUAACUCCAUGGUUCUUUGUUUGUGUUUGUCUUUGCCCUUUCUUUUUAUUUCUCAUUUCCUCCAUGUAAGUACUUUAAUUUUUCCUUUCUUGUUUGGUGUUUAUCUUUACCAUUUCUUUUUUAUAUCUCAUUUCUUAUAUAUAGAUUUUCUUUAUAUUAUUCUGCCUUGUUGCAGUUGUGCUUCCCUGUAACCAUUCAAAAGCAUUGGUUUUUCUUUCUUCGUUUGCUUUCCUAGAUCUAGCUUUCUAUGAGCUGUCUGAAUUUCACUUGCAGAUUAGGAUGAUGGAAAUUCAGAAUUGAUUCUAAUUUCUUAUUUGAUCCCUUUUUACAGACUGUGAAUUAACAAUGGUGGAGAAGGCUUUUUUGCUUGAGAGAGAUGUUGAACUUCUUUUUUCUCACUAUGGAUAGGGCAGUGUGUAUGUUGGUUCAGUGUGUAGUCAUCUAUAGAAGAGUCAGUGUGUAUGUUGGUUCAGCUGUGUCUCUAUAAUCCGUAGAUGACAUGAGGUACUAUACUUGCAUGGUUUUCUUACUAUAAUUUCAAGGUUUUUCACCUGCU